rnacentral:piRNA from 1 species
UGGAAGUAGUCAGAAUCACCACGAGGACCU